AUACGUAGGGUGCGAGCGUUGUCCGGAAUUACUGGGCGUAAAGAGCUCGUAGGUGGUUUGUCGCGUCGUCUGUGAAAUUCCGGGGCUUAACUCCGGGCGUGCAGGCGAUACGGGCAUAACUUGAGUACUGUAGGGGAGACUGGAAUUCCUGGUGUAGCGGUGAAAUGCGCAGAUAUCAGGAGGAACACCGGUGGCGAAGGCGGGUCUCUGGGCAGUAACUGACGCUGAGGAGCGAAGGCAUGGGUAGCGAACAGGAUUAGAUACCCUGGUAGUCCAUGCCGUAAACGGUGGGCGCUAGGUGUAGGGGUCUUCCACGACUUCUGUGCCGUAGCUAACGCAUUAAGCGCCCCGCCUGGGGAGUACGGCCGCAAGGCUAAAACUCAAAUGAAUUGACGGGG
rnacentral:rRNA from 1 species